GUUUGGUGGAGCAAUUGGUUUAAUUCGAAGCAACGCGAAGAACCUUACCAAAUCUUGACAUCCUUUGAAAACUCUAGAGAUAGAGCCUUCCCCUUCGGGGGACAAAGUGACAGGUGGUGCAUGGUUGUCGUCAGCUCGUGUCGUGAGAUGUUGGGUUAAGUCCCGCAACGAGCGCAACCCUUAAGCUUAGUUGCCAUCAUUAAGUUGGGCACUCUAGGUUGACUGCCGGUGACAAACCGGAGGAAGGUGGGGAUGACGUCAAAUCAUCAUGCCCCUUAUGAUUUGGGCUACACACUGCCU
rnacentral:rRNA from 1 species